rnacentral:snRNA from 1 species
GUGCUCACUUUGGCAGCACAUAUACUAAAAAAAAAAAUGGAAUGAUACAGAGAAGAUUAGCAUGGCCCCUGUGCAAGGAUGACACGCAAAUUCGUGAAGCAUUCCAUAUAAAA